rnacentral:lncRNA from 1 species
CUCAUUUUCCUCAAUUUUUUCCUCUGAUUUUCCCUCUGAUUUUUUCCCAUUUUCCCCGGAUUUUUCCUCGGAUUUUUCUCCGGAUUUUUCCUCGGAUUUUUUCCCAAUUUCCCCGGAUUUUUCCUCGGAUUUUUCCCCAUUUUCCCGCCCCUCCCCCUCCUCCCAGCCGCCAGGGGGCGCCAAGCACAGGGCGUGGUCCCCGCUGGCCACGCCCCCUUCCUGCUCCGCGCAUGCGCUCUCCUCCCCGCCGCGAUCCGGCGCCCUGCGGACAGAAAGGGGCGGGGUCAAGCAGAGCGCGGGCUCGGGGGGGGCGUGGCCAGCGCGGAGCGCGGCCCGGGGGGUCUCCGGUGCCUCCCCUCCCCCCUCCCGUUACCGAUCGCCGCCGCUCGGCGCCGCCGCCGCCGCCAUUUUAACGCCGUCAGGGCAUCAACCAAUCAAAACGGAGAUCAAGGACAGCGGGGCGGGGCUUGGGGCGCGCGGACCAAUGAGAAGAGAGCGGUGUAAACCAGGAAAUGACAUCAGCCAAUGGGGUGCGGCGCGGGGAAGCGGCAGCCAAUGGGGGCGAGGAAAAGGCGGGACGGGGAUGAGCAACGGCCGCGUCAGCCAAUCAGAGCGCAGCUCGGAGCCGCAGCAGCCAAUAGAAACGAGAAGGCGGCGACACCAAGCGGCUGAGCCAAUAGCGGCGGGGCAAAGGCGGGAACAGACCCGCAGCUCUGAUUGACAGCAGCGCCACCCAAUCAAAAUCAGCGAAAGGCGGGACUCACCUCGCUCAGCCAAUCACGCUCCGAGACGAUCCCGGAAGCGCCAGGCGGGACUUCCGCAAGCCCAACCAAUCAGGCGGCGGCGCGGGAAGGGAGCGGCCAAUGAGAAGCGAGAAGAAGGGCGGGGCUUGUCCGCCAUGAACGGGGCGGGCGAGGGCGAUGGCGGCGGCUACAAACGGCGCUGCCGCGCUCUCAAACGGCGGCUGAAGCUGCUGCUCUACGUGAGGGGCGGGGCCAGAAAA